rnacentral:lncRNA from 1 species
GCUGUUUCCUUUGGGAAUUAUUCCCAAAGCUGGGAUUCCUUCCUUUGGGAUCAUUCCAAUCUUUGGGCUCCUUCCUUUGGGAUUAUUCCCAAAUUUGGGCUGUUUCCUUUGGGAUCAUUCCCAAUCUUUGGGCUCCUUCCUUUGGGAUCAUUCCCAAAUUUGGGGUUCCUUCCUUUGGGAUCAUUCCCAAUUUUGGGUUCCUUCCUUUGGGAUCAUUCCCAAUCUUUGGGGUUCCUUCCUUUGGGAUCAUUCCCAAUUUUGGGAUUCCUUCCUUUGGGAUCGUUCCAAAUUUUGGGCUCCUUCCUUUGGGAUCAUUCCCAAUCUUUGAGUUCCUUCCUUUGGGAUCAUUCCCAAUCUUUGAGCUGUUUCCUUUGGGAAUUAUUCCCAAAGUUGGGAUUCCUUCCUUUGGGAUCAUUCCAAUCUUCGGGCUCCUUCCUUUGGGAUUAUUCCCAAAUUUGGGCUGUUUCCUUUGGGAUCAUUCCCAAUCUUUGGGCUCCUUCCUUUGGGAUCAUUCCCAAAUUUGGGGUUCCUUCCUUUGGGAUCAUUCCCAAUUUUGGGUUCCUUCCUUUGGGAUCAUUCCCAAUCUUUGGGGUUCCUUCCUUUGGGAUCAUUCCCAAUUUUGGGAUUCCUUCCUUUGGGAUCGUUCCAAAUUUUGGGCUCCUUCCUUUGGGAUCAUUCCCAAUCUUUGAGCUGUUUCCUUUGGGAAUUAUUCCCAAAGUUUGGAUUCCUUCCUUUGGGAUCAUUCCAAUCUUUGGGCUCCUUCCCUUGGGAUUAUUCCCAAUUUUGAUCUGUUUCCUUUGGGAUCAUUCCCAAUCUUUGGGGUUCCUUCCCUUGGGAUUAUUCCAAAUUUUUUGGUUCCUUCCUUUGGGAAUUAUUCCCAAUUUUGGGCUGUUUCCUUUGGGAUCAUUCCCAAUCUUUGGGUUUCUUCCUUUGGGAUCAUUCCAAAUUUUUGGGUUCCUUCCUUUGGGAUCAUUCCAAAUUUUUGGGUUCCUUCCUUUGGGAUUAUUCCGGGAAAAAUAA